rnacentral:rRNA from 1 species
UACGUAGGGGGCAAGCGUUGUCCGGAUUUAUUGGGCGUAAAGAGCGUGUAGGCGGCCGCACAGGUCCGUUGUGAAAACUGGAGGCUUAACCUUCAGACGUCGAUGGAAACCGUGCGGCUGGAGUGCGGCAGAGGGGGAUGGAAUUCCGCGUGUAGCAGUGAAAUGCGUAGAUAUGCGGAGGAACACCGAUGGCGAAGGCAAUCCCCUGGGCCUGCACUGACGCUCAUGCACGAAAGCGUGGGGAGCAAACAGG